AUCGUUUUNGAAAAUCAGUGGCCAACAGUCGUCAGGAUUGUUGAGCUGCAUNGGCGGGAUUUCGCCGUCUUCGUUUCUCUUUCUUCGCGGACGNNCACGCGCCGGGGCUGCGCUGUGCGAUUGCAUUUGGCGCUAGUCGCCGGUUGCUGCACGCCAAGACCCUAGUCCUUGAUAGGAUAGCGUUAGGGGCUNGUAGCUCAGUUGGUUAGAGCGCGCGCUUGAUAAGCGUGNGGUCGGAAGUUCAAGUCUUCCCAGGCCCACCACUUUCAUCGAGUGAGCAUUCGUCUUCUGGUUACGGGGCCAUAGCUCAGCUGGGNGNGCGCGUGCUUUGCAAGCAUGAGGUCGUCGGUUCGAUCCCGUCUGGCUCCACCAGAUGGUUUGAUCAUCGACUGAUCGUGCACCUAAAUCGUCCGCGAAACAUCACUUCGCACUUGCUAGUCCGGAUGGGACAGCAGGCUGCGUGAUUUCUGACAUCGUAAAGAGGAGAUCGAUCCGAGUUGGAUCGUGCAGAAGAUUUCUGCGCGAUACUUCAUUAUCUCCGGAUCAUUUCGGCGCUCACGCGUCCUUCAAGNUCAAACUUGAAAGACGGGCGAGUUGUAAAUGAUCCUUUUAGCGAAGCUUGACCGCCUCGCUAUCGGAACGAUCUUACGAAGCAAGCUGGGUCUUUCUAAUCAUUGUCCGGCUGCAGAUAGCGUUCAUCGAG
rnacentral:tRNA from 1 species